GACGAAGGGGGGCUAGCGUUGUUCGGAAUUACUGGGCGUAAAGCGAGUGUAGGCGGUUGUUCAAGUCAGGUGUGAAAGCCUUGAGCUCAACUCAAGAAAUGCACUUGAUACUGGAUGACUAGAGGACCGGAGAGGAUAGUGGAAUUCCCAGUGUAGUGGUGAAAUACGUAGAGAUUGGGAAGAACACCAGUGGCGAAGGCGGCAUCCUGGACCAACACUGACGCUGAUGAGCGAAAGCCAGGGGAGCAAACGGG
rnacentral:rRNA from 1 species